UACGUAGGGUGCGAGCGUUAAUCGGAAUUACUGGGCGUAAAGCGUGCGCAGGCGGUUUCUUAAGUCAGAUGUGAAAGCCCCGGGCUUAACCUGGGAACUGCGUUUGAAACUGGGAGACUUGAGUGUGGCAGAGGGGGGUGGAAUUCCACGUGUAGCAGUGAAAUGCGUAGAUAUGUGGAGGAACACCGAUGGCGAAGGCAGCCCCCUGGGCCAACACUGACGCUCAUGCACGAAAGCGUGGGGAGCAAACAGG
rnacentral:rRNA from 1 species